UACGUAGGGGGCUAGCGUUGUCCGGAUUUAUUGGGCGUAAAGAGCGUGUAGGCGGUCAGGUAGGUCUGCUGUGAAAACUCGAGGCUCAACCUCGAGACGUCGGCGGAAACCAUCUGGCUAGAGUCCGGAAGAGGAGAGUGGAAUUCCUGGUGUAGCGGUGAAAUGCGCAGAUAUCAGGAAGAACACCCGUGGCGAAGGCGGCGCUCUGGGACGGUACUGACGCUGAGACGCGAAAGCGUGGGGAGCGAACAGG
rnacentral:rRNA from 1 species